AAUAGCCUCAUGUGGCUAGUGGCUCAUUGGACAUUGUAGUUGUAGACGUUUGAGACUGUUGGUUUUAAGUUGGACUUAAUCACUUUCCUACCCAAAUUCUACCACUCCUUUAAGAACUCCUUUAGAACUCUUUUAGUUCACAUAAUACGCCAUAUUUUUUUUACUGUGCCUGUAGUUCUUCAAGGAGUGGUACAAUUUGGGUAGGAAAACCAGGCAGGAAUUCCAGGGUAGUGUUCAAUAUUGACAUUAGUAAUAGUCUAUCAAUAAUAAAAUAGACAUCUCAAUCACUAUACAAAAUCUCAGAAAUGUAAAGCUCUUACAGAGCAUGCUUGUGCUUGUGUAACAGCUGGUGUAAUGCCUGCAUUUUCAGUACCAUGUAGCCGCACUGUUAAUAGUUUUCUAUCACUUUUUAGUUACUCAUGUCUCAUUAAUGAUAGUGCCAUUAAUUGUGAUGAGUGUUUUCGAUUCAUGUGGUCAAUAAAAAGAGACUACACAAGCUGGAACUUUGUUGCCAUUAGUCAAGCUAGUGAGAUAGUAUAUCUAUCUAUCUCCCCAGAAGAAAGUAAGAUAAUUGAUGGGGUGUGGAUUCAGAAGAGGGAUUACUUUUCUUUGAGCCUCAGACUUCUAGACAGUAUACUUCAGUCAGUAAUGGACCACAUAUAGAACAGUGUUUCCUUAGUAGACCAUAUUUUUACUGUACCUUUUCUAUAUUUAGAUACACAAAUAUUGUGUUACAAUUGUCUGCAGUAUUCAGCACAGUAACAUGCUGUGUAGGUUUGGGACAAAAUAGGCUCUACCAUCUGGGUUUGUGUAAAUACAAGCUGAUUUUCACACAAGAUUCCCUAACUAUGCAUUUCUUAGAACGUAUCCCCAUUGAUAAGUGAUACGUGACUAAUUUACGUGAAAUUUAUACAUUCUUUAUCUUUCCUGUUUUUGGUUUAUUGAUGGUGAGGAAAAUUACUCGUUUCAGCUUUUUCAUUUUUUUACUCCCCAAAUGAUUUUCACCUUUUUCUUAAAAUGUACAAUAAAUGCACUGAAAACUUUGAUCACUGUCACUACAGUUGUACUUAAGUGUUUUUCUUCGGUUUUUGCUUGCACAGUUUUCAUGUCAUUGAAGGAAAAAUUUAUAAAUGCUUGAGGAGAAUGAGAUACAUCUUGUAUAGGGGAAAGUACAAAAGGUAUGGUGGCAAGAGAGAAAUCCUUAAAGGGGCACUAUAAUAUGUAAGUGUUAACCUAAUUGCCAGCUUUCUCUAUGCCAUCCUGGACACAGCGAUCAUAUUUUGUUUCAAAUAAUUUAUAAACAUUCAUUAAAACUUGAGUCAUUUGUGAUAAAAUGGUGUGUGUAAAAGUAAUGAAACUAAAAUUGGUGUGGGGUGUUAAAAGUUGUAAAAUUUUCUUCAUCUAAAUCAUAAAAAGAUACACAUUCUAGAGGAAUUAUCUGCCAAAAAAAUAACAAUUAUCAAAGAUAUUUAAAUGUAUGGGAUGUACUUAAAAUCACUUAUUCCCCAUUUCAUGUUUACUAAUAAACAUAUAAACUAAAGUGGGUCAACUAAAUAGGGAAGAUACAGCAGGCAAGACAAAUAGGCUGGGCUUUUAUUUUUAUCUGCUUGGGCUUUAAGCUUUCCUUCAUUCAAGUGACAGAUUCUGCCUUUGACGGGAUGCUUAAAAUCACUAUAUUAGAUCUAAGAUCAUUUCUAAAACCUGUUUUUUUAAUGAACCUAAAGACUUUUCACAGCAGAUGAGUACAUAAAAAUGUUACUGGAAUAAGGAAUACCAUUAAAGCUCUAAUAUCCAAUGUCAAGUUUUAUAUUAAAAUCUUUCCCAAGUUAUCUCUGCCAGGGCAUUUUGUUGAUGUCUUAGUGCAAGAUUACCAAAAACUUAGUCAAAUUGAACAGGAUAUUCAUUUUCUUCUCCAACUACCAAAACACAGUCUUCAUUAUAAGGUGAUUGGGGUGCGGUUGAAAAAACUGUGGUGAAACGAGAAUCAGAAUGUUUUUUGUACAGGAACCAAAUGAUUGCUCCCAAAACUGUCAAAAUUACCGUGCUAGCAAUCACCAAUGCUGAUAUUAAAAUGUGGUUAUCUGAAAAGGAAAAGACAAAAGAGUAUUUGGGAAAUUAGGGUACACAAGUUGCAAGUAUAUUUUGAUGAGCACAACUGUAGUUUUGUGUAAACAUUUCUCUGUGUUGAGAAUUUCCCACACUGAUGAGAAAACCAAAAAUUUCGCAUUUGUUACUAACAAGAUUUAUAUUUCUUAGCCUGAAGAAUAGUACUCAAAUUUUCUAGGAAGUUGUGCACUUCUCCACUCUACUGAAGACCCCAUAGUGGAAAUCACGCAAGUAUAUACCAUGCUCCAGUUUGUCUUCCUUCGCUUUACUUUCUGAUCUAAGACUACAAAUUCAGACCUACUGUUCCCUUUAGGAAUUCUAGUAUUUAGAUAAUGUGUUACAUUAUUGAGGUUUAAUGGUUCACCUGGCUUUGGGGAUUUAAGAUUUGUUUAACUGAAAAAAACACCAAGACCUGCAGUAAAGUACCUGGUUUUGUGUG
rnacentral:lncRNA from 1 species